rnacentral:rRNA from 1 species
UAAACAAUAAAAAAAUUCCGUAGGUGAACCUGCGGAGGGAUCAUUA